rnacentral:rRNA from 1 species
UACCUACGGGGGGCAGCAGUGGGGAAUAUUGCACAAUGGAGGAAACCCUGAUGCAGCAACGCCGCGUGAGUGAAGAAGUCAUUCGUGAUGUAAAGCUCUAUCAGCAGGGAAGAAAAUGACGGUACCUGAGUAAGAAGCCCCGGCUAACUACGUGCCAGCAGCCGCGGUAAUACGUAGGGGGCAAGCGUUAUCCGGAUUUACUGGGCGUAAAGGGAGCGUAGGCGGCGAUGCAAGUCAGAAGUGAAA